GACAGAGGGUGCAAACGUUGUUCGGAAUUACUGGGCGUAAAGCGCGCGUAGGCGGCCGUGCAAGUCGGGCGUGAAAUCCCAUGGCUCAACCAUGGAAGUGCACUCGAAACUGCACAGCUGGAGUCUCGGAGAGGAAGGCGGAAUGCUUGGUGUAGAGGUGAAAUUCGUAGAUAUCAAGCGGAACACCGGUGGCGAAGGCGGCCUUCUGGACGAUGACUGACGCUGAAGCGCGAAAGCGUGGGGAGCAAAC
rnacentral:rRNA from 1 species